rnacentral:rRNA from 1 species
AUGAACGCUGGCGGCGUGCCUAAUACAUGCACGUCGAGCGAACAGACGAGGAGCUUGCUCCUCUGACGUUAGCGGCGGACGGGUGAGUAACACGUGGAUAACCUACCUAUAAGACUGGGAUAACUUCGGGAAACCGGAGCUAAUACCGGAUAAUAUAUUGAACCGCAUGGUUCAAUAGAGAAAGACGGUUUUGCUGUCACUUAUAGAUGGAUCCGCGCCGCAUUAGCUAGUUGGUAAGGUAACGGCUUACCAAGGCAACGAUGCGUAGCCGACCUGAGAGGGUGAUCGGCCACACUGGAACUGAGACACGGUCCAGACUCCUACGGGAGGCAGCAGUAGGGAAUCUUCCGCAAUGGGCGAAAGCCUGACGGAGCAACGCCGCGUGAGUGAUGAAGGUCUUCGGAUCGUAAAACUCUGUUAUUAGGGAAGAACAAAUGUGUAAGUAACUAUGCACGUCUUGACGGUACCUAAUCAGAAAGCCACGGCUAACUACGUG